GGCACACAUCUCCGGAUAAUGUGAUCCGGACCCCGUUUGAAUAACAAAGGAUCUUCCCAGAAGUAAUGCUUCACAUCAGCGAAGAACCUCUUCCUUUGUUGAUAAGAAAGAUCUGGGGGUAUGAUGCCACUAACAAGAUAGUUCACAUGGUCUGCAUACCAUGGUGUAUGAUUGGCUUGUAAAAUCUGCAUGAUUUGCAACAGCUGUUCAUCAGGAAACACCUCAUUGAUUUCACCUUCCAAAACGUCUUCGGGUUGCUCGAGACGAGAUAAAUGAUCAGCAACGACAUUUU
rnacentral:lncRNA from 1 species